rnacentral:rRNA from 1 species
CGACUGGCGGCGUGCCUAAUACAUGCAAGUCGAACGCACUCUCGUUUAGAUUGAAGGAGCUUGCUCCUGAUUGAUAAACAUUUGAGUGAGUGGCGGACGGGUGAGUAACACGUGGGUAACCUGCCCUAAAGUGGGGGAUAACAUUUGGAAACAGAUGCUAAUACCGCAUAAAACCUAACACCGCAUGGUGUAGGGUUGAAAGAUGGUUUCGGCUAUCACUUUAGGAUGGACCCGCGGUGCAUUAGUUAGUUGGUGAGGUAAAGGCUCACCAAGACCGUGAUGCAUAGCCGACCUGAGAGGGUAAUCGGCCACACUGGGACUGAGACACGGCCCAGACUCCUACGGGAGGCAGCAGUAGGGAAUCUUCCACAAUGGACGAAAGUCUGAUGGAGCAACGCCGCGUGAGUGAAGAAGGUUUUCGGAUCGUAAAACUCUGUUGUUGGAGAAGAAUGUAUCUGAUAGUAACUGAUCAGGUAGUGACGGUAUCCAACCAGAAAGCCACGGCUAACUACGUG